UUAUACAUGCAAGUCGAACGGUUAAGGCUCUUCGGAGAUACACGAGUGGCGGACGGGUGAGUAACACGUAGGAAUCUGCCCUUUAGCGGGGGACAACCAAGAGAAAUCUUGGCUAAUACCCCAUACGACGAAAGUUGAAAGAUUUAUCACUAAAGGAGGAGCCUGCGCUUGAUUAGUUUGUUGGUGUGGUAAAAGCACACCAAGACUACGAUCAAUAGCUGGUCUGAGAGGAUGAUCAGCCACAAUGGGACUGAGAUACGGCCCAUACUCC
rnacentral:rRNA from 1 species